rnacentral:piRNA from 1 species
UGCAAUCAACUUUUUGAGUCA